rnacentral:rRNA from 1 species
GUGGGGAAUUUUGGACAAUGGGCGCAAGCCUGAUCCAGCCAUUCCGCGUGCAGGAUGAAGGCCUUCGGGUUGUAAACUGCUUUUGUACGGAACGAAACGGUCCUGGUUAAUACCUGGGGCUAAUGACGGUACCGUAAGAAUAAGCACCGGCUAACUACGUGCCAGCAGCCGCGGUAAUACGUAGGGUGCGAGCGUUAAUCGGAAUUACUGGGCGUAAAGCGUGCGCAGGCGGUGCUGUAAGACAGGCGUGAAAUCCCCGGGCUCAACCUGGGAAUUGCGCUUGUGACUGCAGUGCUGGAGUACGGCAGAGGGGGAUGGAAUUCCGCGUGUAGCAGUGAAAUGCGUAGAUAUGCGGAGGAACACCGAUGGCGAAGGCAGUCCCCUGGGCCUGUACUGACGCUCAUGCACGAAAGCGUGGGGAGCAAACAGGAUUAGAAACCCGUGUAGUCC